GAUGAACGCUGGCGGCGUGCCUAAUACAUGCAAGUCGAGCGAACAGACGAGGAGCUUGCUCCUCUGACGUUAGCGGCGGACGGGUGAGUAACACGUGGAUAACCUACCUAUAAGACUGGGAUAACUUCGGGAAACCGGAGCUAAUACCGGAUAAUAUAUUGAACCGCAUGGUUCAAUAGUGAAAGACGGUUUUGCUGUCACUUAUAGAUGGAUCCGCGCCGCAUUAGCUAGUUGGUAAGGUAACGGCUUACCAAGGCAACGAUGCGUAGCCGACCUGAGAGGGUGAUCGGCCACCCGGGAGCGGAGACACGGUCAAGACUCCUACGGGAGGCAGCAGUAGGGAAUCUUCCGCAAUGGGCGAAAGCCUGACGGAGCAACGCCGCGUGAGUGAUGAAGGUCUUCGGAUCGUAAAACUCUGUUAUUAGGGAAGAACAAAUGUGUAAGUAACUAUGCACGUCUUGACGGUACCUAAUCAGAAAGCCACGGCUAACUACGUG
rnacentral:rRNA from 1 species